GGGUAGGUGCCGGAGUGGUUAAACGGAGCAGUCUGUAAAACUGCCGCCUUAUGGCUACGGGGGUUCGAAUCCCUCCCUGCCCACAA
rnacentral:tRNA from 1 species